rnacentral:rRNA from 1 species
GGUAGCACAGAGGAGCUUGCUCCUUGGGUGACGAGUGGCGGACGGGUGAGUAAUGUCUGGGGAUCUGCCCGAUAGAGGGGGAUAACCACUGGAAACGGUGGCUAAUACCGCAUAACGUCGCAAGACCAAAGAGGGGGACCUUCGGGCCUCUCACUAUCGGAUGAACCCAGAUGGGAUUAGCUAGUAGGCGGGGUAAUGGCCCACCUAGGCGACGAUCCCUAGCUGGUCUGAGAGGAUGACCAGCCACACUGGAACUGAGACACGGUCCAGACUCCUACGGGAGGCAGCAGUGGGGAAUAUUGCACAAUGGGCGCAAGCCUGAUGCAGCCAUGCCGCGUGUAUGAAGAAGGCCUUCGGGUUGUAAAGUACUUUCAGCGGGGAGGAAGGCGANGCGGUUAAUAACCGUGUCGAUUGACGUUACCCGCAGAAGAAGCACCGGCUAACUCCGUGCCAGCAGCCGCGGUAAUACGGAGGGUGCAAGCGUUAAUCGGAAUUACUGGGCGUAAAGCGCACGCAGGCGGUCUG